CAAAACUAUGGCGUGGUAUGGAACGUAGUUCUACCAUGAUGGCGACGCCGUGGUGAAAGCAAGCCUUUCCACACUCGUCCAACGCGGAACGCGAAGGUUUAACCCGAGGGAGUCGCUGCGAGGAUUUUGCUUUUACGAGGCUCCAUCCAGCAUCCCUAAAAUACACCUGCUCUGGCAGGAAGGACGCAGAACCCCGGCCCGAUGAACUGAACUUGGUGGAAGCAAGUGACACUUAAC